AACGAGCCGCAACCCUUGUCCUUAGUUGCCAUCAUUUAGUUGGGCACUCUAAGGAGACUGCCGGUGUUAAACCGGAGGAAGUGGGGAUGACGUCAAGUCCUCAUGGCCCUUAUGUCCAGGGCUACACACGUGCUACAAUGGCCGGUACAAAGGGCAGCAAAGCCGCGAGGUGGAGCCAAUCCCAGAAAGACCGGUCUCAGUUCGGAUUGGAGUCUGCAACUCGACUCCAUGAAGCUGGAAUCGCUAGUAAUCGCGGAUCAGCAUGCCGCGGUGAAUACGUUCCCGGGCCUU
rnacentral:rRNA from 1 species